rnacentral:rRNA from 1 species
ACUCCUACGGGAGGCAGCAGUAGGGAAUCUUGCGCAAGGGACGAAAGCCUGACCCACCGACCCCGCGGGAGCGAUGAAGGCCUUCGGGUCGUAAAGCUCUGUGGGGGGAAACGAAUAAGGUUCUGUGUCAUAUAUAUGCANGGCNAUGACCGNAUCUCCUUAGCAAGCACCGACUAACUCUGUGCCAGCAGCCGCGGUAAU